rnacentral:snRNA from 1 species
GUGCUCGCUUCUGCAGCACAUAUAUAAAAUAUACAGAGAAGAUUAGCAUGGUCCCUGAGCAAGAAUGACAUGCAAAUUUGUGAAGUGUUCCAUAUUUCA